UACGGGGGAGCAAGCGUUGUUCGGAUUUACUGGGCGUAAAGGGCGCGUAGGCGGCCACCGCAAGUCGGUUGUGAAAUCUCUGGGCUUAACCCAGAAAGGUCAACCGAUACUGCGGGCUAGAGUGCAGAAGGGCAACUGGAAUUCUCGGUGUAGCGGUGAAAUGCGUAGAUAUCGAGAGGAACACCUGCGGCGAAGGCGGGUUGCUGGGCUGACACGUGACGCUGAAGCGCGAAAGCUAGGGAGCGAACGGG
rnacentral:rRNA from 1 species